rnacentral:rRNA from 1 species
AGUCGAACGAAGCUUGACGGAUGAUUUCUUCGGAGUGAAACCAGAUAUGACUUAGUGGCGGACGGGUGAGUAACACGUGAGCAACCUGCCUUUCAGAGGGGGAUAACGGCUGGAAACGGUCGCUAAUACCGCAUGAUGUGUUCGGAUGGCAUCAUCUGGACAUCAAAGAUUUAUCGCUGAAAGAUGGGCUCGCGUCUGAUUAGAUAGUUGGUGGGGUAACGGCCUACCAAGUCUACGAUCAGUAGCCGGACUGAGAGGUUGAACGGCCACAUUGGGACUGAGAUACGGCCCAGACUCCUACGGGAGGCAGCAGUGGGGAAUAUUGCACAAUGGGGGAAACCCUGAUGCAGCAACGCCGCGUGAAGGAUGACGGUUUUCGGAUUGUAAACUUCUUUUCUUAGUGACGAAGACAGUGACGGUAGCUAAGGAAUAAGCAUCGGCUAACUACGUGCCAGCAGCCGCGGUAAUACGUAGGAUGCAAGCGUUAUCCGGAUUUACUGGGUGUAAAGGGAGCGCAGGCGGGACUGCAAGUUGGAUGUGAAAUACCGUGGCUUAACCACGGAACUGCAUCCAAAACUGUAGUUCUUGAGUGAAGUAGAGGCAAGCGGAAUUCCGAGUGUAGCGGUGAAAUGCGUAGAUAUUCGGAGGAACACCAGUGGCGAAGGCGGCUUGCUGGGCUUUAACUGACGCUGAGGCUCGAAAGUGUGGGGAGCAAACAGGAUUAGAUACCCUGGUAGUCCACACUGUAAACGAUGAUAGCUAGGUGUGGGGGGUCUGACCCCGUCCGUGCCGGAGUUAACGCAAUAAGCUAUCCACCUGGGGAGUACGA